GACGGCCGGCCUGCCAGGGUGUUGUGACUGCGACCUUAGCGCGGCGUCAGUACAGGCUUCAGAGCUUGAUGAUGGUGCCGAAGUUGAGGGGCCGUGUGCUGCGCAGGUUGGUGGUGGGCGAGUUUGUCGGGUUGUGACGCGACAGUGGGCAGUGGCCGAAACAAAACGCAUGUAAGUUUGCGCUCAAGCCCAGAUAUACAUGCGACUGCGGGCUUUCAGUCCUGCCUAACCCGUCUGUCCCCAGGCUUUACGCCGCCCGUCCUACUUGGACAGACGUACCGUGCAAGACGCUGCCACACGACUCGUGCAAGAGGCAUUCAACAGAGGUUCCAUGGACAACGUAGCAGCUGUCGUAAUACAGGUACGUGGACAAGAAGCGCCCGCUAGCCCGCUUACAUGGGACACAGUAUAUGUAAGCGUAUAAGAACAAAAUUGCAAACACAGUUGAACAUUCAUUUCUGCGGGGCGAAGGUAAUUGAACCCUGUACCUUAUGGUAUCCCAAGUCUUAUGUAACGGAUGAGACGAUAUUUCCUAAAAAUGCCCUAAUAUUCGUACUGUAACCACUGAACGGUUA
rnacentral:lncRNA from 1 species